GCAUUUGGUAAUCUGUGAAUACACGCUCACUGCUCUCGUUUUCCUCUCUGCUUGCGCCCACUAUCAGAAUCGAUGUCCACCGUAAAGAAAAUGCGGGGGCUGCUGAGAAGUCGAUUACUAUCCUCUCUACUCCUGAAGGCACCUCUGCGGCUUGUAAGUCUAUUCUGGAGAUUAUGCAUAAGGAAGCUCAAGAUAUAAAAUUCACAGAAGAGAUCCCCUUAAAGAUUUUAGCUCAUAAUAACUUUGUUGGACGUCUUAUUGGUAAAGAAGGAAGAAAUCUUAAAAAAAUUGAGCAAGACACAGACACUAAAAUCACGAUAUCUCCCUUCAAGCACAUUUAAUUCCUGGAUUAAAUCUGAACGCCUUGGGUCUGUUCCCACCCACUUCAGGGAUGCCACCUCCCACCUCAGGGCCCCCUUCAGCCAUGACUCCUCCCUACCCGCAGUUUGAGCAAUCAGAAACGGAGACUGUUCAUCUGUUUAUCCCAGCUCUAUCAGUCGGUGCCAUCAUCGGCAAGCAGGGCCAGCACAUCAAACAGCUUUCUCGCUUUGCUGGAGCUUCAAUUAAGAUUGCUCCAGCGGAAGCACCA
rnacentral:sRNA from 1 species